rnacentral:rRNA from 1 species
CUAGUUGGUAAGGUAACGGCUUACCAAGGCAACGAUGCAUAGCCGACCUGAGAGGGUGAUCGGCCACACUGGAACUGAGACACGGUCCAGACUCCUACGGGAGGCAGCAGUAGGGAAUCUUCCGCAAUGGGCGAAAGCCUGACGGAGCAACGCCGCGUGAGUGAUGAAGGUCUUCGGAUCGUAAAACUCUGUUAUUAGGGAAGAACAUAUGUGUAAGUAACUGUGCACAUCUUGACGGUACCUAAUCAGAAAGCCACGGCUAACUACGUGCCAGCAGCCGCGGUAAUACGUAGGUGGCAAGCGUUAUCCGGAAUUAUUGGGCGUAAAGCGCGCGUAGGCGGUUUUUUAAGUCUGAUGUGAAAGCCCACGGCUCAACCGUGGAGGGUCAUUGGAAACUGGAAAACUUGAGUGCAGAAGAGGAAAGUGGAAUUCCAUGUGUAGCGGUGAAAUGCGCAGAGAUAUGGAGGAACACCAGUGGCGAAGGCGACUUUCUGGUCUGUAACUGACGCUGAUGUGCGAAAGCGUGGGGAUCAAACAGGAUUAGAUACCCUGGUAGUCCACGCCGUAAACGAUGAGUGCUAAGUGUUAGGGGGUUUCCGCCCCUUAGUGCUGCAGCUAACGCAUUAAGCACUCCGCCUGGGGAGUACGACCGCAAGGUUGAAACUCAAAGGAAUUGACGGGGACCCGCACAAGCGGUGGAGCAUGUGGUUUAAUUCGAAGCAACGCGAAGAACCUUACCAAAUCUUGACAUCCUUUGACAACUCUAGAGAUAGAGCCUUCCCCUUCGGGGGACAAAGUGACAGGUGGUGCAUGGUUGUCGUCAGCUCGUGUCGUGAGAUGUUGGGUUAAGUCCCGCAACGAGCGCAACCCUUAAGCUUAGUUGCCAUCAUUAAGUUGGGCACUCUAAGUUGACUGCCGGUGACAAACCGGAGGAAGGUGGGGAUGACGUCAAAUCAUCAUGCCCCUUAUGAUUUGGGCUACACACGUGCUACAAUGGACAAUACAAAGGGCAGCGAAACCGCGAGGUCAAGCAAAUCCCAUAAAGUUGUUCUCAGUUCGGAUUGUAGUCUGCAACUCGACUACAUGAAGCUGGAAUCGCUAGUAAUCGUAGAUCAUCAUGCUACGGUGAAUACGUUCCCGGGUCUUGUACACACCGCCCGUCACACCACGAGAGUUUGUAACACCCGAAGCCGGUGGAGUAACCUUUUAGGAGCUAGCCGUCGAAGGUGGGACAAAUGAUUGGGGUGAAGUCGUAACAAGGUAGCCGUAUCGGAAGGUGCGGCUGGAUCACCUCCUUU